ensembl:lncRNA
CAAAACUAAGCCAAACCACUGCACUAAAAAUUACAUUGCCUUAAAUCAAAUGCCUUUUUUUUUUUUCUUUUUCUUUUUUUUCUAAUAACUGCAGUAAGAAGGUUUGUUUAGGGAGGGCUGUCUCUAGCCACAGGAAAAGCAAGCAGUUCCCAUAGGGUACCAUACAGCUGGGAGGAGCAGUGUAACAACUGUUCCAGCACCUACUUCACCUCAUCUCUGCAAGGACAGCUGUGUUGACAACUCCUCCUACCCUACUGAGUUUGUUUUUUUUUUUUUUUUUUUUUUUAAAAAAAAAGGAGCUGGAAUAUAUAUGCAGCAGCCACCUGGAGAAGGAAGAAAGGGCGGCUCAUAUCAGUGCUUCCCCUAUCCUCUUCCCAUGGCAGCAUGGCUUCCCUGUCCUGGCUUUCAUCCUCAGAACAGGAAAUCUCAACUUUGCCCACACUUCUUGAGAUGGUUUAAGACAGCUUUAUAUAUGAACACCUGAAAACAAGACAGCUUGAGCCUCCAGUGACUGUCAAGGAAGGAAAAAAAAAAAAAAAAAAAAAAAAAGAAGAUACUGUCUCUUCACAGCUACCAUGCAAUUCCAGGAACCUUUCUCAAGCCCACAACAGGGAAGAUAUCUGCCUUGUUCUUUCUUUCUUUCAUCUACAACUACUGCAGACGUUUUGCUCCAGGAUUAUAAGAUUGUGUCUCGAGGAAUGUGAGAGCCUCUGGGAAAGUACUACGUUCCUUAUCUGUCAUUUUGGGAACUGACAUAAACUGCCAUUGAGUUCAUCUGUAUUUCCUAGAAUACGCUCAGGACUUCACCAGAUCAGACCUAUGUAAAAACAAACACAUACAAAAUACUGGAUGUACCCAAAUUUCCUGACUCACUUUAUCAAAUUCACAGCUGUAUAGUUCCAGGUAAAGAAGUAGAUAUACUAUUCUUAUUAGUUUUUCUAUUUCAGAAAACAUGUAAGAUUGAAGACUGUAACUUAACUGAAGCCAGGGAUACGAAAAAAGAGGAAGUAGAAGAAUAAUGUACCAAUAAAAUGUUGACAGUUCUCUGUUUUUUGCCAAUUGUUGAUAAAAUGACAGACGGUAAUGUUUAUGAAAUGUAUAAUUCAAAGCAAAUUUGCCUAGAUAACCAAGUUAAAGAUGCUUUAUCUUCCCUAACAAACAUAAUGCAGCAAUCAGCAAAACCCAGAGUACAUAAUACAAACUGAAAAUGCAAGAAAACAAAUCUUUUCUUUUCGCCUAAGUCAACAUAUUUUCCGAGCACAAAUAAAAUUUUUGGCUUUCUUUCAAAUCUUCACAGCUAAUCAAUAGUUUAGUCAUACGAUGAAAAAUGAUGUAUCCAUAUUCUUCACAAUUGACAUUUCCUAACUGUCUCCAAGGUCGCAUUGAUUGCCAGUUGUUCAGUUUACCCAACUUCUGUUUUGAGCCAAAUAAUAUGAUCUUUGUUUCAUUAAUAUUUAAUAGUAAUUUAGAUUGCGCCAGAUGAUCUUAAAGCUCAUUUAAAUCAGCUUGAAGAUAAUAUUAAGCUUUCUUCUAGUAUAAUCUAUUAUCAUAAAUGAUUGUGUCAUCUGCAUAUAAAUGGUGAGUUGAAUAUGAUAAUGAAGUGCAAAGAUUAUCAAUAUAGAACAACAAAUGCAUCUGACUUAAAAUAAAUCCUUCAGGGACCCAUUUACUCUGUUUUCAGUGGUAAAUGAUGCAUCGUUUCACUUCAAGUAUUCUACAGAAAACAUAAAAGAUUUGGAUCAUGAGAUAUAAUAUUUAUCCUGUGUGGGGAAAAAAAAAAAGAAAAUAAAGAUCCCACAUUGUAGAACUCUUUUCAAGUGUGGUAAUUACAGUCCAUAUAGAUCCAUUAUACUUGCAGUAUGACAGACCUUGAUUAAUUAUUAGUGGUUUUUUUUUUUUUUUUUAAGAGUGAUUACAGUGAAGAAUGUGUUUUUAUUUAAAGCAGGUUUAGUUUGUAUUUGUUUUUCACUAGCUGGUCAUUCAAAUUAGUUCGUUCUAAUUAUCGGCAAAUACCAUGCCCAUUGAAUAAAAGUACCUGAAUGCAGUUAACAGUGUGACACUCAAAGCUGUUCCCUCUAUAAAAACGACAGCUGGGAGGGCUGCAGGGAAACCCUGCUUGGCAAUAAGGCUGCAUUUAAAAGAAUUAAAUUGUCAAAUUCUCUAGACUCAUGGGCUUAAUUAAAAGUCUGUGGACAAUUUCAGUGACAAAAGAAACAAUUAUAGCAGUCAGAAAUACUAAUAAAUAUAUCAGAAAUGGUUAAAAGCAGUUGAAAAUUAAGUAAGUGCAUUUACUGGCAAAUAUUGUCCAAGGAAAUGAUAACACAUAGCCAUGAUAUGGCACUGUGGAAAACAUGCUGAGGUGAAAGAAACUAUUGGAAUCCAGCACCUGGAGAGCAUUGGGAAAACAGACAGAUCAGAUCCGUGAGGCAGCUAUUCACUGUCCAUUCAAAAUCAUCCUACACAAAGUUCCAGGUAUAUUGUUAUUAUAAAGACUGGUUAUUGUAAAAUUUUAUAUAACUGAAGUAAUCAUUUAGCUUGGGUGCAUGUACUUAUGAAGAAGAUCCAGUGUUGCUUUGGCCUCCUAGGACAUCAGCUCAGAAGCUGUCAGCAUUUGGUCUGACAGAGUCAUCUGUGCAAUAAAGCACUCAUGAAUAAAUUUGGACUAGAAAGUGCGAAGGCUUUAUUUAUUCAAGAAUGAAAUUUGGAAAAGCCUUGUCAAUACAGUCAUGGGAGCAAGACAUGCACAAACCAAGACACGCUUACUGAAG